UAGUAGGGUCCACAUAGAUACUAGUCAUGCUGGUGUAGUCUAUAGCUGAGCUGGUUAAACUGUAGUAGGGUCCACAUAGAUACUAGUCAUGCUGGUGUAGUCUAUAGCUGAGCUGGUUAAACUGUAGUAGGGUCCACAUAGAUACUAGUCAUGCUGGUGUAGUCUAUAGCUGAGCUGGUUAAACUGUAGUAGGGUCCACAUAGAUACUAGUCAUGCUGGUGUAGUCUAUAGCUGAGCUGGUUAAACUAUAGUAGGGUCCACAUAGAUAGUAGUCAUGCUGGUGUAGUCUAUAGCUGAGCUGGUUAAACUGUAGUAGGGUCCACAUAGAUACUAGUUAUGCUGGUGUAGUCUAUAGCUGAGCUGGUUAAACUGUAGUAGGUUCCACAUAGAUACUAGUCAUGCUGGUGUAGUCUAUAGCUGAGCUGGUUAAGUUGUAGUAGGUUCCACAUAGAUACUAAUCAUGCUGGUGUUGAUGGUCCUCAGAUGUUAUGAUCAGUGGCAAUUUUAGCAUGUAAAUCUUGGUGGGGCAAAAAAAACAAAGCACAGAUUUAACAAGACAUUAAUUGCACUAUAAUGGUUACCAACAGUGCCAACAAACUGUUAGGGCCGACAUAAAGCUGUCCCAACAGCAGAGUCCCAACACCUUACCACUGCUACACCUGCCGAUCAGCGGAGUCCCAACAGCAGAGUCCCAACACCUUACCACUGCUACACCUGCCGAUCAGCGGAGCUUUGUCUUAGCAGUGGACCAACAGUGCCAACAAACUGUUAAGGCCGACUGUUGUGGAAUUAUCAGAAUUAGUUGAGUAACAUAGAUAAGAUGUGUUAUUUUAUAUUUUUAUUAUUAUUAUUUUCAUGAUAUGCUUAUGACUUAUUUCUCAUAAGAAUGUAUUUUGUUGUACUAUAGUGGUGGUCAUUGGCAGUUAUCUGUUCUAUGUCAGGACUAAGUUGCAUGGGCCACAGAGAGGGGAGAGGUCAAAGUGUCAUCAUGUGUAAACAUAUCUUUUACUCCCUACCUUUCCCAGUAUGGGAAAAGGAGGGUUGCAGUGUCUGGAAUCAUUCUAUGCUCCCUCUAAUGUUGUUUCUAUCUUAACCUAUAGCCUCAUUCUCCUCUCCGUGAGUUUGUCCAGAAGGUUGUAUUCUGAGUUGGUUGUAUCUAAAUGACAAUUUGAUAUAUGCCUGUUGAUAUGGAGGAUUUGGUUUAUGGUUCUGAGGUUUGGAAAAGGAGACAAAGCUGAAUUAUGAAUUAUGUCUAUGCUGACUGACUAUGGGUGUCUUUGCUAUUAAAGGAACUCGGUUGCAUUGUAAGGGGGCUCUCAGAGAAUUCACUGAGAGACACUGAAUUUAUCUGAGAGUCACAGGAUUGUGAUAGAGCUCAUAUAAUUAAAGAUGGACUUUUAUAACUAA